CACCGCGGUUGACGUGGUUGGGCCGGGGCUGAGGAGGCCUCCAAGAUGCCGCAGUCCAAGUCCUGGAAGAUCACGAUCCUGGGCUACCGGUCUGUGGGGAAGUCCUCAUUGACAAUUCAAUUUGUUGAAGGCCAAUUUGUCGACUCCUACGAUCCAACCAUAGAAAACACUUUUACAAAGUUGAUCACAGUAAAUGGACAAGAAUAUCUUCUUCAACUUGUAGACACUGCUGGGCAAGAUGAAUAUUCUUUCCUCAGACAUACUCCAUAGAUAUUAAUGGCUAUAUUCUUGUGUAUCCUGUUACAUCAAUCAAAAGUUUUGAAGUGAUUAAAGUUAUCCAUGGCAAAUUGUUGGAUAUGGUGGGGAAAGUGCAAAUACCUAUUAUGUUGGUUGGGAAUAAGAAGGACCUGCAUAUGGAAAGGGUGAUCAGUUAUGAAGAAGGGAAAGCUUUGGCAGAAUCUUGGAAUGCAGCUUUUUUGGAAUCUUCUGCUAAAGGAAAUCAGACCACUGUUGAUGUCUUUAGAAGGAUAAUUUUGGAGGCAGAGAAGAUUGAUGGAGCAGCUUCAAAAGGCAAGUCUUCGUGCUCGGUGAUGUGAUUCUGCUGCAAGGCCUGAGGACACUGGGAGUAUCUUCUACCUGAAGAAGCCAACUGCCCGUUAUCCUGGAAGAGAAACUAUGCUUCUUUUUUCUUCUGUUAACCUGAAAGAUAUCAUUUGGGUCAGAGCUCCCCUCCCUUCCGAUUAUGUUAACUCUGACUCUGUCCAAAUGAGUUCACUUCCAUUUUCAAAUUUUAAGCAAUCAUAUUUUCAGUUUAUAUAUUGUAUUUCUUAAUAUUAUGACCAAGGAUUUUAUUGGCA